rnacentral:misc_RNA from 1 species
UCGUCUGCGGCGGGACGUCACGCCUCCCGAUCCGCCGCCGGCCCGAGCACGUGCUUCGCCGAUUCUCGAGGGACCCUCCUCCCUGGUUCCUCCUUCGCCUCGCCCUCGCUCCCACUGCUUCCGAGGCCGCUAUCGAGGGAUCCGCGCCUCUCGCCACUCUCCUUCGUGUUCCCCGCCCACGUUCCUCGCUCCGUCUCCGCCCGCAAGGCAAGCAGACACGCCCAUCGCUCCAGCGCCCAUGGCCAGAAGCAACGAAGUCCCCGCCAAGUCGAAGGAGGUGCUGUCGCUUCUGCUGCCGUGCCUGCCGUGCCUGCCGUGCCUGCUGGGCCAGCCGGGAUGGCGAUACUCGGCUGAUUCGCCAUGAAGAGCGGCUGUGCUUGCGCGAUGGUCCUUGGGGCGCUCCUCCUCGUGCUCGGGCUUACCUGGGCGCCCACAGUCACGCCCAUUACCUCGCCCCUGCCAUCGCUCAUGCCCACGGCUACGCCCACAAAGGAUGCCCAUCGACAGCUCCUUGUACCUGCCUCUCCUGGGCUGCGACUCCCCGACGUGGCUUCACUCUGGCCCGAAGUGGGACUCGAAGCUCGCCAACUCUCGCCGAACUCGAGAACGUCCAACUCCUUCCUCAAACGUCGUUCUUUGGAAGGAGAUGUGACGUCAGCAGCGCGAACGCCAGGUGGUCCUACGUCUAUCGAGUCACCUGCCGAGAGAACCAGCUGUGCCCCCCCAGCUGCUUUCAGGUGGUGCAAGGUGGCUGUCAGAACAACGAGGGCGGUCAGAAAGACUCAAGUGGACCCCAUGCACCUCAAAGGAAGUGAGAAACGUCGAAGGAAACGGAAGAAGAAGAAGCAGAAAAGGAAGCGGAGGAAGAAAAGGAAGAAAAAAAAGAAGAGGAAGAGGCACGGGAACGAGAAGACCCGCUCUCGCCCGGAGUCCCGCUCCGCCCUGACGCCGUCGCUCGCGCCCCUGAGGCCCGACGGUGUCAAGGCGCAGGGGGACGCCGGGCCCUCGCAAGCCGUCAGGGGGGAGAGGGAGAGGGGUCCUGGAAGGCAGAGCACCCGGCAGGAGCAGCCGAGGCAAAGCGUCCGCACAGGAGGCCUUCCGCAGGUACCAUCCCUCCUUCUUCCCCUAGAGGUGAUCGACAGCCGCACUCUGGCCAGGUUGCGCUACAACCCGAGCAUCCGAGUCAGCAUCCAGGUCGUGGGCGCUGAGCAGCAGGAGGACGAGGUCGGACCCGUUGAGAUCCCUGGCGAGUACGGGCCGGAGGGAGGUCACGCCGCCCCGCCUCGGUGGCCCGGCGAGGACGCCAACAGGAUCACAGAGCUGUUCACCCACGAAGAAAAACUCAGGAACGCCGCCCACUCCCCCUCACCCACAAGAAGCCCCCCAUCGUCAUCGCCUGAGGCCGAGGAGCAGGAGCAGGACGAGGACCUGGAGGAGCAGCAGAAGCAGGAGAGAAGAAUGAGGAGGAGGAAGAAGGAGGCGUUGUUAGAAGGGAAGGGGAAGCUGGACCCCUUGCAGAAGCACGCCCCUCGCCCCUCCUUCUCUUCGCCUUCUUCAGGAACUUGGCACAACAGGAAGCGUUUUCGUUGGAAGAAGAAGAAGGAGAAGAAGAAGAAGAAGGAAAAGGGGGCAACCACGGAAGAGGAACAGAAGCAAGGGCAAUGGCAGAGAGAGAGGAGGGAAGGACGCGCAGAAAGGGGGAGAAAGAGAAGGUGGAGAAGUGAAGGAGGAGGAGGGACGGCGAUGGCAACUUCGAGGACGAGGACCCUCGGGACGGCGUUCGAGUCGAGGGAGCGGACGAGGAGGAGCUGAGGUCGACCCGAGAGCUGGUGGUGGGACUCGCCGACGCCCUGGAGGAGCUCCUCAAGGCCGGCUUCAAGGGCGCCGAGGAUAACGAGGACAUGGUCGAAGACAUAUGUGGUGCAUGGACGGAGUGUCGCGUUGAGAGGGCAUUGCAAGAACUAGCUCAAUUGCAUGCACUGCCAUCUUGUCCUUGUGUCUACCCGGCCGACCUGGUCUACCGCGAUGCAAUACACGAUCCACUGCUCAAUGCAACGUUCAGGU